UUUGUUUCUUUCUUUCUUCUUUUUCCUCCCCUUUGAACUGGAAAAUGGCCCACUUCCCACUGGCGAAAACUCAUGAAAUUUGGCAGGAUGACCGGGCCUGGUGAAAAAUUUGAUAUUCCGAAGUCGCCCAAACAAUAAAAUGCAAAAUGGCUCCAUAGCGCCCCCUAAGGUGAAAAUUCACACUAUUGACUGUCACGCCUUUACGCUUUGUCAUAUUGACACAAAAAUUGACACACAUAUGUAUCUUAAUAAGAUCUACAAAAAAGUCAGUGCGGCCGUAUCUGUCAAAUGUAUGGUUAAAGGGUUAUUGCGCAUUUUUUGCCGACCCGCACACAUUGGAAUUUCGCUAACUCCUCCGAAGGCUUUCGUUCCACCGGCACCACAUUUGCUCAGGCCAAUCUACACCCCGUGGCCAUUAAAAGUUAUCAAAAUCAUGACGCUGCACCCCAAGGUUUAGGUUCUAGGGGGCGCCAAAGAUAACACUAAAAUCCACAUAUUUAAAAGUCUUAUAACUUUUUAUUUUUCUCCUCACUGGCCUCCAAGUUUUCUAGGAUGAUGCAAUGUCCAGCCAUCAACACAUUUGUGAAGGAAUUUUUACUCCCCAAAAGAGCGCCCCCCCAUGGCAGAAGAAAAAAGUCCAUUUUUUCUUGUCCCCUAAGGUGAAAAUACACAUUGUUGAGUGUCACGCCUAUACGCUUUGUCAAAAUGACACAAAAAUUGACACACACAUGUAACUCAAUAAGAUCUACGAAAAAGUCAAUGCGCGCGUAUCUGUCAAAUGUACGGUUAAAGGGUUAUUCCGCAUUUUUUGCCGAUCCGCACACAUUGGAAUGUGGCUAACUCCUCCUAAGGCUUUCGUUCCACCGGCACCACAUUUGCUCAGGCCAAUCUACACCCCAUGGCCAUUAAAAGUUAUUCAAAUCAUGACGCUGCACCCCACGGUUUAGGUUCUAGGGGGCGCCAAAGAUAACACUAAAAUCCACAUAUUUCAAAGUCUUAUAACUUUUUAUUUUUGUCCUCACUGGCCUCCAAGUUUUCUAGGAUGAUGCAAUGUCCAGCCAUCAACACGUUUGUGAAGGAAUUUUUACUCCCCAAAAGAGCGCCCCCCCAUGGCAGGAGAAAAAAGUCCAUUUUUUCUUGUCCCCUAAGGUGAAAAUACACAUUGUUGAGUGUCACGCCUGUACGCUUUGUCAAAAUGACACAAAAAUUGACAAUCAUGUGUAUCUCAAUUAGAUCUACAAAAACUCAAUGGGCGCGUAUCUGUCAAAUGUACGGUUAAAGGGUUAUUCCGCAUUUUUUGCCGAUUCGCACACAUUGGAAUUUCGCUAACUCCUCCGAAGGCUUUCGUUCCACCGGCACCACAUUUGCUCAGGCCAAAUUACACCCCAUGGCCAUUAAAAGUUAUUCAAAUCAUGACGCUGCACCCCACGGUUUACGUUCUAGGGGGCGCCAAAGAUAACCCAAAAAUCCAAAUUUUUAAAAGUCUUAUAACUUUUUAUUUUUGUCCUCACUGGCCUCCAAGUUUUCUAGGAUGAUGCAAUGUCCAGCCAUCAACACAUUUGUGAAGGAAUUUUUACUCCCUAAAAGAGCGCCCCCCCAUGGCAGGAGAAAAAAGUCCAUUUUUUCUUGUCCCCUAAGGUGAAAAUACACAUUGUUGACUGUCACGCCUGUACGCUUUGGCAAAAUGACACAAAAAUUGACAAUCAUGUGUAUCUCAAUUAGAUCUACGAAAAAGUCAAUGGGUGCGUAUCUGUCAAAUGUAUGGUUAGAGGGCUAUUUUGCAUUUUUUGCCGAUUCGCACACAUUGGAAUGUGGCUAACUCCUCCUAAGGCUUUCGUCCCACUGACACCAAAUUUGCUCAGGCCAAUCUACACUCCAUGGCCAUUCAAAGUUGUAAAAAUCAUGACGCGGCACCCCACGGUUUACGUUUUAGGGGGCGCCAAAGAUGACCCAAAUAUACAUUACAGUAGACAAAGUAGUUUUGCCCACUGAGUGGCGCCAAAGGGACUUGUCUGUGGAGUUUGUGAGUCACUAUUGGCCGUUUUUGACUACUUUAGAUUUUACCUUUAUAUUUCCUCUUACAAAAUUUUUACCUUGCCUUGCCUGGUAUCAUUUUUUUCAGCACAACCUCACCUGUGUCAAUUUACAGUUAUUUUAUCAUUUUGACAUACUAUAUUUACACAUUGGACCCAAAUUCACACACAAAACAUAAAAUCCGAGUGCAAAAAAGUAACGUUUUUACUGUGAAAACCACAAAUAUGUGUGAUGAACUGUUUUUAAAACUUAAACUUCAAAUAAAAAUUGUAAACUUCAAAACAUAUGCAAAUUUUUAACAAAGAACAUAGUAAUUUACCUCUAUUUACAUCAAAAUGCAGGCAAUGGCCCAGGUGUUCUUUGUAAAAUUAUUUACAAAACACUGUAUAGUCUCACAAAUGUCACUUUUUAUUUAUGCCACUACAAAAAAACAUGAUGUAAAUGAUGCAUGAUGUAAAACAUGAUGUAAAAAACUUGUGUAGAUCCUCCUCUAUGUCAGUCCAUGUGUAAUUUUUCCAUAAUUCUUUGUUUUUUGCAGCAUUUUUGUUAGUGUAACUGCAGAUUGUGCUGACAGUGUCUAUGGCAAAAAAAAAAAAAAAACUGAAAAUGCCUCAACAUGAACCCCUGGUGGUCUCUGAGGGUGAAACCUGCUAACUGCUGCAGCUCUGUCAGCUUCAGUCUCCCAUGCAGAGCUCGGAGCGCAUGUGUGGCUCUGCACCCUUAGCAGCGUUGCUAACUCCUCAGUAAGGAAAGCCUGCUUCAUGUCAGAGUCUCUAAACUCCAGAAGAAGUCGAUAAAAGUCACUUUCUUUCUAAAAAAACGUCGUUAGGGGGUCUGAAAAGUCAUUGAAUCUAACAACAAAGUCGCUAGGUUUGCAACUACGUGUCCCAGACUGCAUCCCUGCUGAGAGUCCCUCCCUCCCUUCUCAUAUUGCAGGAAGAACGUAAGCGCCCGCCCCUUGUCAAUCAGUCACCAUAUAAUUUUGGAUUGGUUGUUGUGGUGAAGUUUUCCACCAAUAGGAGAGAUGUUGUGGUGUGUUUUUUUUUUCCUUUGGCAAGCCUUUUCCGCCUGUAAGACCUGUCGCUAAUGUCUGCAUGCUAUGUUUUCCUGUCUCAUACAGCGCGAUCGAGCGCCGAACGUGAUCAAAAUAAGCAGAAAACAAGUAUCGCGGACAUAAUUUAUCAUAACUCUGGUUUUAUUUGGCCUAUCAACACAAUUUAAAAACUGGUAUAUAGGUUGAGGUCCUCACUUUUGAGAUAAGUUGAAAUGGAGAGUCAACGAGGCUCCGUCUUGCAGCUACAUCCGGUUAAAUAUGUCAUGUGACUUGAACGCACACACACACACACACACACACACACACACACACACACACACACACACACACAGACACACACACACACGCACACACACACACUCAGAGUCUGGUUUUUAGCACCUGCAAAAACAUGCUAUUUACAUAUUUGACAAGAAUGCAGAGGCUCCUUUUGCCCCUGAAAAAAAUCAAAUUUCAAACACAACUUGACUGGUCAUUUCUCCAAAAGACAACCAUGAAGCUCCAUCCAAACCUGAAGCAGGCAGUUGAUGCAUGUGUACAGUAACCUGAGGGGAGUGAGGUGACUGCUUCUGAGGAGAACAUGAGCAGUGAAGAUUCACCUUAGAGCUAGAACAGAGACGUGCACAUGAUUAUACAGGGGCAGGGGCUCAAGUUUUUACCAGUUGUUUAUACAAUAUGGAAAUUAAUGUGAAAUUAAAACACAAAGUAUUAAUAGAAAGGUAAUGACUGUCCUGUGUAGGUGACAUUGAUAUCCAAUAGGCUAGGCACUCACGAGGCUGGCUGUGGCAAGUGUAAGUGAAAGCAACACGCACUGGCAGGAAGAACAGCAAACGCCGAUGAAGGAAAAGGGUCUUUGCAGUGAUGGGCGUUACCAGAGAGGGCGAUGGCCAGAGGACACAAAUGGGACGGGGAGGCAGCGCGUUGGGGGGGGGACGCGACACAGCUCGGGCCCGCCAGUGCCCCAACGGGGUCCUAGUGUUAUUAUUAGGGCCCGAGCGUAGCUGCUAAGCAGCUGCGAGAGCCCUCUUGUUCCUGCAUGUUUCCUUCUUUUGUUAGGGCCCGAGCGUAGCUGCUAAGCAGCUGCGAGAGCCCUCUUGUUCCUGUAGUUUCCUUCUUUAGGGCCCGAGCGUAGCUGCUAAGCAGCUGCGAGAGCCCUCUUGUUCCUGAUGGAUUCUUCUUUUGUUAUUAUUAUUAUUUUUCCUCCGCUUUAAACUGGAAAAUGGCCGACUUCCCACUGGCGAAAACUCAUGAAAUUUGGCAGGACGACCGGGCCUGGUGAAAAAUUCGAUAUUCUGAAGUCGCCCAAACAAUAAAAUGCAAAAUGGCUCCAUAGCGCCCCCUAAGGCGAAAAUUCACACUAUUGACUGUCACGCCUGUACGCUUUGUCAUAUUGACACAAAAAUUGACACACACGUGUAUCUCAAUACGUUCUACGAAAAAGUCAGCGCGGGCGCAUCUGUGAAAUGUACAGUUAGAGGGUUAUUUCGCAUUUUUUGCCGAUCUGCACACAUUGGAAUUUCGCUAACUCCUCCGAAGGCAUUCGUUCCACCGGCACCACAUUUGCUCAGGCCAAUCUACACCCCAUGGCCAUUAAAAGUUGUACAAAUCAUGACGCUGCACCCCACAGUUUACGUUCUAGGGGGCGCCAAAGAUAACCCAAAAAUCCACAGUCUUAAAAGUCUUAUAACUUUUUAUUUUUGUCCUCACUGGCCUCCAAGUUCUCUAGGAUGAUGCAAUGUCCAGCCAUCAACACAUUUGUGAAGGAAUUUUUACUCCCCAAAAGAGCGCCCCCACAUGGCAGGAGAAAAAAGUCCAUUUUUUCUUGUCCCCUAAGGUGAAAAUACACAUUGUUGAGUGUCACGCCUAUACGCUUUGUCAUAUUGACCCAAAAUUUGACAAUCACGUGUAUCUCAAUAAGAUCUACGAAAAAGUCAAUGGGCACGUAUCUGUAAAAUGUAUGGUUAAAGGGCUAUUUCGCAUUUUUUGCAGAUUCGCACACAUUGGAAUGUGGCUAACUCCUCCUAAGGCUUUCUUCCCACCGACACCAAAUUUGCUCAAGCCGAUCUACAUCCCAUGGCCAUUCAAAGUUGUAAAAAUCAUGCCGCUGCACCCCAUGGUUUACGUUCUAGGGGGCGCCAAAGAUGACCCAAAUAUCCACAUUCUUAAAAGUCGUUUUGGCCACUGCAGGAGUACAGAGUACUGCAGGAUACACACACACAGACACACACAAACACAGACACACACACACACACACACACACACACACACACACACACACACACACACACACACACACACACACACUCAGAGUCUGUUUUUUAGCACCUGCAAAAACAUGCUAUUUACAUAUUUGACAACAAUGCAGAGGCUCCUUUUGCCCCUGAAAAAAAUCAAAUUUCAAACACAACUUGACUGGUCAUUUCUCCAAAAGACAACCAUGAAGCUCCAUCCAAACCUGAAGCAGGCAGUUGGUGCAUGUGUACAGUUACCUGAGGGGAGUGAGGUGAGUGCUUCUGAGGAGAACAUGAGCAGUGAAGAUUCACCUUGGAGCGAGAACAGGGACGUGCACAUGAUUAUACAGGGGCAGGGGCUCAAGUUUUUUCCAGUCGUUUAUACAAUAUGGAAAUUAAUGUGAAAUUAAAAAACAAAGUAUUAAUAGAAAGGUAAUGACUGUCCUGUGUAGGUGACAGUGAUAUCCAAUAGGCUAGGCACUCACGAGGCUGGCUGUGGCAAGUGUAAGUGAAAGCAACACGCACUGGCAGGAAGAACAGCAAACGCCGAUGAAGGAAAAGGGUCUUUGCAGUGAUGGGCGUUACCAGAGAGGACGAUGGCCAGAGGACGCGAAUGGGACGGGGAGGCAGCGCAUUGGGGGGGGGGGGGCCGCGACACAGCUCGGGCCCGCCAAGAUCUACGAAAAAGUCAAUGGGCACGUAUCUGUAAAAUGUAUGGUUAAAGGGCUAUUUCGCAUUUUUUGCAGAUUCGCACACAUUGGAAUGUGGCUAACUCCUCCUAAGGCUUUCUUCCCACCGACACCAAAUUUGCUCAAGCCGAUCUACAUCCCAUGGCCAUUCAAAGUUGUAAAAAUCAUGCCGCUGCACCCCAUGGUUUACGUUCUAGGGGGCGCCAAAGAUGACCCAAAUAUCCACAUAUUUAAAAGUCUUAUAACUUUUUAUUUUUGUCCUCACUGGCCUCCAUGUUUUCUAGGAUGAUGCAAUGUCCAGCCAUCAACACAUUUGUGAAGGAGUUUUUUCUCUUUAAAAGAGCGCCCCCCCAUGGCAGGAGAAUAAAGUCAAGUUUUUCCUGUUCAUCAUUCAAUGGCUCAAACGCACUGCUCUCUCGGCAAAAGCGAAAGGAGGAGCAACUUGCCAUUUGGAUAUAUCUUAGCUGUGUUUGUGCCCUCACUCAUGGUCCAGACUUUUUUCAAAUAGGACAUGGAGUUUUUCUGCAGCGAGCGUUUUGGUAGAAACUGCGCCUCCCGUUCAUUAUAAUGGUAAAUGACCACAAACAAGUGCGCACACCAUCUUUGGACCUUGAGUGUGACGUGAUCGGGUGGGGGAGGCGGUCGCGCUGGGGGCGGCGUGACACGGCUCGGGCCCGCCAGUGCCCCAACGGGGCCCUAGUUAUUAUUAUUUUUCCUCCCCUUUGAACUGGAAAAUGGCCCACUUCCCACUGGCGAAAACUCAUGAAAUUUGGCAGGACGACCGGGCCUGGUGAAAAAUUUGAUAUUCCGAAGUCGCCCAAACAAGAAAAUGCAAAAUGGCUCCAUAGCGCCCCCUAAGGUGAAAAAUUCACCUGACGCCUGUACGCUUUGUCAAAAUGACACAAAAAUUGACACACACAUGUAUCUCAAUAAGAUCUACAAAAAAGUCAGUGCGGGCGUAUCUGUCAAAUGUACGGUUAAAGGGUUAUUGCGCAUUUUUUGCCGAUCCGCACACAUUGGAAUUUCGCUAACUCCUCCGAAGGCUUUCGUUCCACCGGCACCACAUUUGCUCAGGCCAAUCUACACCCCAUGGCCAUUAAAAGUUAUUCAAAUCAUGACGCUGCACCCCACGGUUUAGGUUCUAGGGGGCGCCAAAGAUAACCCUAAAAUCCACAAAUUUCAAAGUCUUAUAACUUUUUAUUUUUGCCCUCACUGGCCUCCAAGUUUUCUAGGAUGAUGCAAUGUCCAGCCAUCAACACAUUUGUGAAGGAAUUUUUACUCCCCAAAAGAGCGCCCCCCCAUGGCAGGAGAAAAAAGUCCAUUUUUUCUUGUCCCAUAAGGUGAAAAAUUACACUAUUGACUGUCACGCCUGUACGCUUUGUCAAAAUUACACAAAAAUUGACACACACAUGUAUCUCAAUAAGAUCUACAAAAAAGUCAGUGCUAGCGUAUCUGUCAAAUGUACGGUUAAAGGGUUAUUGCGCAUUUUUUGCCGAUCCGCACACAUUGGAAUUUCGCUAACUCCUCCGAAGGCUUUCGUUCCACCGGCACCACAUUUGCUCAGGCCAAUCUACACCCCAUGGCCAUUAAAAGUUAUUCAAAUCAUGACGCUGCACCCCACGGUUUAGGUUCUAGGGGGCGCCAAAGAUAACCCUAAAAUCCACAUAUUUAAAAGUCUUAUAACUUUUUAUUUUUGUCCUCUCUGGCCUCCAAGUUUUCUAGGAUGAUGCAAUGUCCAGCCAUCAACACAUUUCUGAUGGAAUUUUUACUCGCCAAAAGAGCGCCCCCCCAUGGCAGGAGAAAAAAGUCCAUUUUUUCUUGUCCCAUAAGGUGAAAAUACACAUUGUUGACUGUCAUACCUGUAUGCUUUGUCAUAUUGACACAAAAUUUGACACACACAUGUAUCUCAAUAAGAUCUACGAAAAAGUCAAUGCGCGCGUAUCUGUAAAAUGUACGGUUAAAGGGCUAUUUUGCAUUUUUUGCCGAUUAGCACACAUUGGAAUGUGGCUAUCUCCUCCUAAGGCUUUCGUCCCACUGACACCAAAUUUGCUCAGGCCAAUCUACACCCCAUGGCCAUUCAAAGUUUUAAAAAUCAUGAUGCUGCACCCCACGGUUUACGUUCUAGGGGGCGCCAAAGAUGACCCAAAUAUCCACAUUCUUAAAAGAAUCCACAUCCCCCCCCCCCCCCCCAUCCCCCAUCCCCCAUCCCCCAUGGCAGGAGAAACAGUCAAGUUUUUCCUGCCCAUCACUCAAUGGCUCAAUCGCAUCGCUCUCCCGGCAACACCGUAACGAGGAGCAACUUGCCGUUUGGAUAUAUCCUAGCUGUGUUUGUGCCCUCACUCAUGGUCCAGACUUUUUUCAAAUAGGACAUGUAGUUUGUCUGCAGCGAGUGUUUUGGUAGAAACUGCGCCUCCCAUUCAUUAUAAUGGGAAAUGACCACAGACAAGUGCGCACACCAUCUUUGGACCUUGAGUGUGACGCGAUCGGGAGGGGGAGGCGGUCGCACUGGGGGCGGCGCAACGCGGCUCGGGCCCGCCAGUGCCCCAACGGGGCCCUAGUUAUUUUUCCUCCCCUUUGAACUGGAAAAUGGCCCACUUCCCACUGGCGAAAACUCAUGAAAUUUGGCAGGACGACCGGGCCUGGUUAAAAAUUUGAUAUUCCGAAGUCGCCCAAACAAGAAAAUGCAAAAUGGCUCCAUAGCGCCCCCUAAGGUGAAAAAUUCACCUGACGCCUGUACGCUUUGUCAAAAUGACACAAAAAUUGACACACACAUGUAUCUCAAUAAGAUCUACAAAAAAGUCAGUGCGGGCGUAUCUGUCAAAUGUACGGUUAAAGGGUUAUUGCGCAUUUUUUGCCGAUCCGCACACAUUGGAAUUUCGCUAACUCCUCCGAAGGCUUUCGUUCCACCGGCACCACAUUUGCUCAGGCCAAUCUACACCCCAUGGCCAUUAAAAGUUAUUCAAAUCAUGACGCUGCACCCCACGGUUUAGGUUCUAGGGGGCGCCAAAGAUAACACUAAAAUCCACAUAUUUCAAAGUCUUAUAACUUUUUAUUUUUGUCCUCACUGGCCUCCAAGUUUUCUAGGAUGAUGCAAUGUCCAGCCAUCAACACGUUUGUGAAGGAAUUUUUACUCCCCAAAAGAGCGCCCCCCCAUGGCAGGAGAAAAAAGUCCAUUUUUUCUUGUCCCCUAAGGUGAAAAUACACAUUGUUGAGUGUCACGCCUGUACGCUUUGUCAAAAUGACACAAAAAUUGACACACACAUGUAUCUCAAUAAGAUCUACAAAAACUCAAUGGGCGCGUAUCUGUCAAAUGUACGGUUAAAGGGUUAUUCCGCAUUUUUUGCCGAUUCGCACACAUUGGAAUUUCGCUAACUCCUCCGAAGGCUUUCGUUCCACCGGCACCACAUUUGCUCAGGCCAAAUUACACCCCAUGGCCAUUAAAAGUUAUUCAAAUCAUGACGCUGCACCCCACGGUUUACGUUCUAGGGGGCGCCAAAGAUAACCCAAAAAUCCAAAUUUUUAAAAGUCUUAUAACUUUUUAUUUUUGUCCUCACUGGCCUCCAAGUUUUCUAGGAUGAUGCAAUGUCCAGCCAUCAACACAUUUGUGAAGGAAUUUUUACUCCCUAAAAGAGCGCCCCCCCAUGGCAGGAGAAAAAAGUCCAUUUUUUCUUGUCCCCUAAGGUGAAAAUACACAUUGUUGAGUGUCACGCCUGUACGCUUUGGCAAAAUGACACAAAAAUUGACAAUCGUGUAUCUCAAUUAGAUCUACGAAAAAGUCAAUGGGUGCGUAUCUGUCAAAUGUAUGGUUAGAGGGCUAUUUUGCAUUUUUUGCCGAUUCGCACACAUUGGAAUGUGGCUAACUCCUCCUAAGGCUUUCGUCCCACUGACACCAAAUUUGCUCAGGCCAAUCUACACUCCAUGGCCAUUCAAAGUUGUAAAAAUCAUGACGCGGCACCCCACGGUUUACGUUUUAGGGGGCGCCAAAGAUGACCCAAAUAUACAUUACAGUAGACAAAGUAGUUUUGCCCACUGAGUGGCGCCAAAGGGACUUGUCUGUGGAGUCUGUGAGUCACUAUUGGCCGUUUUUGACUACUUUAGAUUUUACCUUUAUAUUUCCUCUUACAAAAUUUUUACCUUGCCUUGCCUGGUAUCAUUUUUUUCAGCACAACCUCACCUGUGUCAAUUUACAGUUAUUUUAUCAUUUUGACAUACUAUAUUUACACAUUGGACCCAAAUUCACACACAAAACAUAAAAUCCGAGUGCAAAAAAGUAACGUUUUUACUGUGAAAACCACAAAUAUGUGUGAUGAACUGUUUUUAAAACUUAAACUUCAAAUAAAAAUUGUAAACUUCAAAACAUAUGCAAAUUUUUAACAAAGAACAUAGUAAUUUACCUCUAUUUACAUCAAAAUGCAGGCAAUGGCCCAGGUGUUCUUUGUAAAAUUAUUUGCAAAACACUGUAUAGUCUCACAAAUGUCACUUUUUAUUUAUGCCACUACAAAAAAACAUGAUGUAAAUGAUGCAUGAUGUAAAACAUGAUGUAAAAAACUUGUGUAGAUCCUCCUCUAUGUCAGUCCAUGUGUAAUUUUUCCAUAAUUCUUUGUUUUUUGCAGCAUUUUUGUUAGUGUAACUGCAGAUUGUGCUGACAGUGUCUAUGGCAAAAAAAAAAAAAAAACUGAAAAUGCCUCAACAUGAACCCCUGGUGGUCUCUGAGGGUGAAACCUGCUAACUGCUGCAGCUCUGUCAGCUUCAGUCUCCCAUGCAGAGCUCGGAGCGCAUGUGUGGCUCUGCACCCUUAGCAGCAUUGCUAACUCCUCAGUAAGGAAAGCCUGCUUCAUGUCAGAGUCUCUAAACUCCAGAAGAAGUCGAUAAAAGUCACUUUCUUUCUAAAAAAACGUCGUUAGGGGGUCUGAAAAGUCAUUGAAUCUAACAACAAAGUCGCUAGGUUUGCAACUACGUGUCCCAGACUGCAUCCCUGCUGAGAGUCCCUCCCUCCCUUCUCAUAUUGCAGGAAGAACGUAAGCGCCCGCCCCUUGUCAAUCAGUCACCAUAUAAUUUUGGAUUGGUUGUUGUGGUGAAGUUUUCCACCAAUAGGAGAGAUGUUGUGGUGUGUUUUUUUUUUCCUUUGGCAAGCCUUUUCCGCCUGUAAGACCUGUCGCUAAUGUCUGCAUGCUAUGUUUUCCUGUCUCAUACAGCGCGAUCGAGCGCCGAACGUGAUCAAAAUAAGCAGAAAACAAGUAUCGCGGACAUAAUUUAUCAUAACUCUGGUUUUAUUUGGCCUAUCAACACAAUUUAAAAACUGGUAUAUAGGUUGAGGUCCUCACUUUUGAGAUAAGUUGAAACGGAGAGUCAACGAGGCUCCGUCUUGCAGCUACAUCCGGUUAAAUAUGUCAUGUGACUUGAACGCACACACACACACACACACACACACACACACACACACACACACACACACACACACACAGACACACACACACACGCACACACACACACUCAGAGUCUGGUUUUUAGCACCUGCAAAAACAUGCUAUUUACAUAUUUGACAAGAAUGCAGAGGCUCCUUUUGCCCCUGAAAAAAAUCAAAUUUCAAACACAACUUGACUGGUCAUUUCUCCAAAAGACAACCAUGAAGCUCCAUCCAAACCUGAAGCAGGCAGUUGAUGCAUGUGUACAGUAACCUGAGGGGAGUGAGGUGACUGCUUCUGAGGAGAACAUGAGCAGUGAAGAUUCACCUUAGAGCUAGAACAGAGACGUGCACAUGAUUAUACAGGGGCAGGGGCUCAAGUUUUUACCAGUUGUUUAUACAAUAUGGAAAUUAAUGUGAAAUUAAAAAACAAAGUAUUAAUAGAAAGGUAAUGACUGUCCUGUGUAGGUGACAUUGAUAUCCAAUAGGCUAGGCACUCACGAGGCUGGCUGUGGCAAGUGUAAGUGAAAGCAACACGCACUGGCAGGAAGAACAGCAAACGCCGAUGAAGGAAAAGGGUCUUUGCAGUGAUGGGCGUUACCAGAGAGGGCGAUGGCCAGAGGACACAAAUGGGACGGGGAGGCAGCGCGUUGGGGGGGGGACGCGACACAGCUCGGGCCCGCCAGUGCCCCAACGGGGUCCUAGUUCUUUGUUUCUUUCUUUCUUCUUUUUCCUCCCCUUUGAACUGGAAAAUGGCCCACUUCCCACUGGCGAAAACUCAUGAAAUUUGGCAGGAUGACCGGGCCUGGUGAAAAAUUUGAUAUUCCGAAGUCGCCCAAACAAGAAAAUGCAAAAUGGCUCCAUAGCGCCCCCUAAGGUGAAAAUUCACACUAUUGACUGUCACGCCUUUACGCUUUGUCAUAUUGACACAAAAAUUGACACACACAUGUAUCUCAAUAAGAUCUACAAAAAAGUCAGUGCGGGCGUAUCUGUCAAAUGUACGGUUAAAGGGUUAUUCCGCAUUUUUUGCCGAUCCGCACACAUUGGAAUUUCGCUAACUCCUCCGAAGGCUUUCGUUCCACCGGCACCACAUUUGCUCAGGCCAAUCU